rnacentral:lncRNA from 1 species
CAUCUUUCAUCCAGCUUGUAAUUGCAGUGGAGGGGGAGACUAAACACUCAAAGAUUGCAGAAGACCCAACUGACUCUGCUUCAGUCAAGACGAUGUCUUUGAUUUCUUUCACGAACUUCAGUGGCACAGCCUUUAGCUGGUACGUGAAUGGGGCUUCAUCAGGAGGUUUCUCCCCACCACUUCCUGGUCUUAACUUUUUCCUUUCAACUUCUAUUGGUGAAGGAGUCUUUUUGGCUACACCUGAUUCAAAAUAAAGUUAAAAGUUGAUUUGGCAUUUUCAUUAGGGUCAGAAGGGCAUACCUAGCUGUCUGCUGGGUAAUACCACUGGUAGAGCAACUUGAAGACAAGAAAACUAAAGACUAAGCAAUUGAAAGGUCAAUUGAGUUUAUACUGCCUUCUUUCAGAUAGGAAAAUGAGAUGGUAUAAGGAAGCCAUGAAUAAUAGAUGCUCUUCGUUUUCUCAAGUUUUAAACCAAAUAUAAAAUGUCCCAAUUAAUGUCUAAUUAUUUUAUCUGUCAUGUAUAAAUAUCAAGCAUAUGAAGAAUGAACCUAAGAAUGUAUGGGGUUCAUUAUGCUAAAAUAUAAUUGGUUAUAUAUAAUACCCACUUGAAUAAUAUUAGAGUUAUAGUACUUGAACUAUCAGAAGACAUUUGUUUUAGCAGAAUCAAUUGGGAAUAAUGAAAAUUGUUAUAAAUUAUAAAACAUUUUUCCUCUUUUUUUUCUGUAGUUUUUUUUCUUUUGGCAUUUAAUUUUUUUAAAAUAUAAUUUAUUGCCAAAUUGGCUUAUAUACAACACCCAGUGCUCAUCCCAACAAGUGCCCUCCUCAAUGCCCAUCACCCAUUUUCCCUCUCCCCCACCCGCCCCCAGACCCCAAUGUUUAUAGCAGCACUUUUUUUCCCUCUUGAAUGUAAAGUUUCCCAGAGUGAAAGGUUACAAUUGAGGUGCAGGGAAAUGACCUUACCUUUGAUGGGACCUUUCGGCUUGGCAGCUUCCUCUUUAGGUGCUUUGGCUUCUGAGAUACAAAGAAAAUUCAGCAUUUAAACAAUUUCCAGAUCUAUUUUAUGUGUCAUAGAAACCAUGCGGGGUGAAUCAUGUUCUUUAUUAUAAAUAUUAAGGCAUGAAGGGAAAUUGACUUUAUUUAUAUGACCUCGAUGGACAAUACUUUGCUACUUCCAAGAAGGCAUAUUUUGAUCAGUAUCAUUCUGGUCAAUGAUGUGACCAAGCCAAAUUACCAACAUAUUUAGGAUUUAAAAAUCGCUUUCAGCAAGUGAUUUUAUUCUUCUCCCAUUUCUGGGAGAAGGCUUACUAUUGCCUUAUGAGGAAGUUUUACUCUUGCGUAGCUAUGCAAAGUAUUUGAUAUGAUUAUGUAUGUGUUGGGUAAGUGAAUCAAGGAAAGAAGUUUUUGUCAACAAGGAAUCAAUGUAGGCAAAAGGGAAAUGGUCCAGAAAUGACCAAAAGCCUAUUUUUUUAAUGUUUAUUAUUUUCGAGAGAGACAGAGAGCAAGCACGGGAGGGGCAGAGAGAGAGACACAGAGAAUCGGAAGCAGACUCCAGAUACUGAGCUGUGAGCACAGAGCCCCAUGGGGGGCUUAAACUCACAGACUGUGAGAUCAUGACCUGAGCUGAAGUCAGCUGCUUAACCAAGUCACCCAGGCACCCCAAGUCUAUUUUUUGUUUUUGUUUUUUUAACUGGGCAGACAAAUCCAGUAAAGACUGAGGAAAGAGGAGGGUCUAUGUGUUACACACAUACGGAUUCCUUUGAAGAGUUCCUUUAAUCAGACAAUGAACUAAGGCAGAAGUAAGACAGUUCCUCUAUUUAGAGUUUAAUGAAAUUAUUAAUGUGGCAAAAUAUAAACUAUAGAACCAACUCUCUAGUUUCAGCCCCUGGGAGUGUGAGAAAAGCUUCAUUUUUAUGCACAUUUAAUUAGCUCACUGGCAGUUAGGAUCCUUUCCUGAGCUAAUGAAAGGUAUCACAUUGCAAUUAUAAAAAUUUAACAGAAUAAUGCCUAAAUCAUAAAUAUCAGUGACAAACAUAUUAACAUAAAUAAAUAUUAAAGUUAAACUACAACCCAAAGAAUACAGUACAUUGUCUCAUGUCAUUAAACAUAAUGAAAAAUUUAUUGUGCUUUACUAUAUGCCAGGUGGCACUGUACUGUUUUAUAUAUAUUUAAUCCUUACAAUGAUCCUAUGAGGCAGAUAUAAUUAUGAAUCUGAUUUUACAGACUAGGAAAUUUAAAAUUUAAACAGGUUAAAUAACUAGCCAAGGAUCAAAUAGGACACAUAUUUAUCAAUGAUCAAUACAUAUCAAAUCAUUUUUGGUUUUGAGAUUAUCAUCAAGUGACAAACUACUAAUAGCUUAUGUACAAUUUAUAAGUAACUUAAGUUUGUACCUGAGAUAGUUAAUGCCACAGAGUUAGUACAUCUAAGAAAAUUACUAUUGACCUAAAGUCUUAUAUAGAUUUAAAGGCUGAACUACAUUGUCUUGUUUUGGUCUCUCCUUUUUUUGUUGUGGUAAAAUACACCAACAUAAAAUUUACCAUUUUAACCACUGUAACAAGUAUACAAUUCAGUUGCAUUAAGUAUAUUCACAGUGUUGUGCAAUCAUCAACACUAUCCACUUCCUGAACUUUCUCAUUAUCUUAAUAUGCAGUUUUUUUUAAAGAAGGAGAAAUGUUUCCUACAGGUCAUGUGGGGGAAAUUUGAAUAUCCACAGGCUGCCUAGAUGUAUGUCCUUAGAGAGUCUGUCUGUCUCCUUUGUUUUCAUCAGCCUUGAACAUAUUCAUUUCUUAAUUUUAAAAGCAUAUAAAGCAAUGAUGCUUUGAAGGAAUGUAUAUUUCAAUCAAAACACAGUGUGUACCCAUGGGUGACAGAUUAGUUUGGUAAAGGACAUAAGAUGAUAAAAAUUUAAUCAAGAAUUUAUACACACCCCUGCUCCCCCACCUUGAUGAUGCCUACAUUUCAACAAGAGGGCUUGAAUUUUAAUGAAGUAUGAAUACUUUUAUUAAGCCAUUAAAACAAACAAGCAAAAAGAAAACUAUAGAACAAAUACCUGCUUUCUUCCCAACUACUGGUACGGUCACUGGGGCAGCAAUGGGAGUUGGUGCGGGCUCCACAGGAGGCGGUUUGAUUAUUUUCACUUCUGGAGAGAGAUGUCCAUUGCAUUAAUGUAUCCAUUUGUCUCUUCCUAAAAUCUCAUUUAGUGGCCUAUUUGCCUUUUCUGAUAUAAUUUUAAAAUUUUUAAAUCACUAGUUUUUCAGAGAAUAAUAUGUUCUAACUAUAACAUAAUCUUUAUAUAGUAUAAUAUAUUCAAUAUAUUCCAAUACACUUAAGUAUAUUGAAUAAAAUAAAUAAUGUCUAAAGAUAUAUUGGGACAUUGGAAAUCUUUUGAUGCAUGUGGACAUUUACUCCCUUUUUUAAUUAACUACAUAUUUGCUUAAAAAAAAAGAAAAGAAAAGAAAAGAAAAGAAAAGAAAAGAAAAGAAAAGAAAAGAAAAAAUCGCAGGUCCAAAAUGGUGUCAUUUGACCAAGUUCUCAAAAUGGGACUUUAUACUCGGUCUAAUUGCAAUUUCAACCUCCCUCCAGAAAUGUGGCCUUCACUGGUAAGUGAGGAAAUUUUUCCUCCCAUCAGCACCAAAGAGUGGGUCACCUAGGUCCUCUCUAACCCCCAAAGAAAGAAAGACAUAAUAUGCAUGAUAAAAAAAACCCUGCUUUUUCCCCCCUGGCAGACAAUCUCCUUGGGAACAAUCCUUUUUUGAGCUCAUAACUGUUUGCCUCCACCCUCUGCAUAUAAAAACCUCCCAUUUUGUACAACUCAGGUGCCUCUAUUUGCUAGACCGGGUGUUGCCCCACUCAUGAAUCAUGUAGCCAAUUAGAUCUUCACAUUUGCUUGGUUGAAUUUUGUUAUUUGACACGUUAUUUGUAAUGAAGCAUGAAGGAAUAUGCUGUUGGCACUGAGGAUAAGUUUGCUUACCUGGUUCAGGCUUUGGUUUUGGUUCAGGUCCAGGGAGAGGUAUUGCUGGCUUAAUUUCAGGCACUAAAAUAAUUCACAAUAGUAAGCAGGUUAUCGCAGUAUUUUGGAAGUUUUUCACAAAUUCAAACCAAAAUUGGACAGACUUAAUAGAUCUUGGGAUAUACUAGAAUUUAUACACAUACAGUCACUAAAUCAAGUAUUUGAUCUAAGUUUAUUUUGCAUUUGAAACAAAAUAUUUGGAAAAUAAUAGUAGAGCAUCUGAUUGGUUCUAAUGUUGUUAUUCAUCAAAUUACCCAUUUCUUUCCUAGCGCUUAAAACUUAUUUAUUUGACAAAUGGGUGGUCAUUAGCCAAGUUCACAUAAAAGUGAAAUGGUAUAGAAAAUUAAAGCCAUAUGUGAUGAGCAGAUUAAGGUCAUGUGUUCCAAUCUUAAUGCCAGUGUAAUGGUAUUUUAAAUGAUGCAUAUUUGCAUUUUUAGGGACUAAGAAAGUGCCAAUAAGUUUGUACCUUUAACUGGUUCAGGAACUUUCCUUUCCCUUUUUGUAACAGCUGGAGGUACUUCAGCCUCUUCAACAGCUUUUGGAGGUGGCUCUGGUACUUUAAGAUAGUAAGAUUAUUUUCUAGUGUUAUUUGAAUAGUUAGAAAUCAAUUGACCUGAAAUAAUCAGAUCAAACUAUCUUUCAAAAGCUCCAUUAAUGGCUUUUAACAAAACCUUAUACUGUAUCAACUAAUUUCUGUUUUCUCUUCUUGACUCUGCCUCAGUUUACUUGCCUUUCUCUUAUUCCAUCCACUUGGGUCCUAACUCCUUCAGCUUCCCCUGUCUAAAUCACUUCCAUAACAGUUCCCAAUAAAUACAUCCUUUGAAAAUAGACUAAUGAUAAAAAAUCAACCCACUUAAAAGCCCCCAAAUUCUGUGCCACAUUUGCUGACACCCUCCCAUUAAGUUAUUUUGUAGCCAUUUUGAUUAUUUCACAAUCAUUUCUACCAGAAGGACCAGUGGCAAAGUACUAACAACAAUGAAGUACAGGGACAUACAUGAAUGGAUUUGAAAUAACUAUAAAGAUAUUUAAACAGAAAGCAGACAAUGGAAAGCACAGACUAUUUCACAGAUGAAAUAUGAAGCUGUGUUUAUAUUUAACUCCGAUAAUGUUUACAAGAUAAACCUUUUGUUAAAUGUCCAUUUUGUUAAAAGAGAAUUGUUACUGAGAUUCCUACCUGGUUUUUUAACUUUUUCUAGUUUUUUAGGUUCUACUUUAGGUUCUUCUUCUUCAGGCCUCUUUCUUAGAACUUAAAAGACAAAAAGGCUUAUAUGUAAACCAAGACAAACAAACUAAUGAAGAUGUUGAGCUAGACAAAUGCAAAUAGUGCACAAAGCAAGGAAAAUGAAAAGCAUGCCACCUGGUGCACUGGGCAAUUAGCAUUUAUGCUAGAAGUGCUUGUUUUUAAGAAAAAAAAAAUCAAAGAUUGCUAUAUUAAUUAGAAUAGCACUCAGAGUCACUUUAUAUCCAUGUACAUAGCCAAUCUGUUGUUUGGAGACAACUCCAUUGCAAAAAUGACCAAAUCACAAAAUGAAUAAGUUUAAAUAGCAACAAAUUCAAAUCAUAAUUCAACAUUCUAAUAUAACGAGGAGCGUUUAAAUAAGUAUAACGUUUACUUAAGUGGAGACAGCCAAAGAACUGUGGCCUAGAUAUCUGUAAUUCUGCAUGAAGAAAAUGUUACAACUUCUUCAUCUGAAAAUCCUACUUUCAAUUCUUUAGUAGUUUAUUAGUAGAAAGAAAUGUUCAGUUUUUUAAAAAUGUUACUUAUUAGUUGUGAUGGUCCUGUGUUACACUUCAAAGCUGAAUACUGAAUUUAGGCUUACAUAGUUCCUCUGUAAUUUGGGGUACUUAAUAGGCUUAGUGUAUUUUACUACAUCAUGUGAUUACAAACAUGACAGCUGUGGUCAUUAUUAUUAGCUUAGAGCAUUAUCAAUUUGGUUAUGUCUAUUCAUGUAAAUUUCAAAACACUGUGAGUGCUUACAAAAUUUCUGUCUUCUUUUAAAAAAGACAUGGAAAUGAUAACCUUCCUAAUUUUCAAUGCAACUAUAAAUGAAUUGUGAUAAAUAGGUAUGUGAAUAGGUAAUCUGACCAAGAGACAGAAACAUUUUGUAAGCUUUCAAGUCUGUUUCUGGUCAACGUAAAGCUAAAAAAAACAGUUGAAAAAUACUAUACCGCUUUUGAGAACAACUUCUUCCUUUGGUUGAGGCUUAGGUUCAGGAAGUAAUUUGCGAACUUUCUUUUCAACUCCAGGCACUUAAAAGAAUAUGAUUUCAAAUUUUGAAGUGAAUUCAUAUAAAAAGUAAAUUUCAACAAGAAAAAGGUCUCUUUCAAAACUAGUUAACUGCAGUGCAUAAGUAAUAACGUUUGCUGCCUAUAAAUAUCACAGAAUUUAAAAGCAAAUAAUACACUUCAAGUUUUUUCCUCUGCAAACAUCUACAUAGCCUUGUGACAAAUUCCACUGCAUUUAUUACAAGCAAGUAUAUUCAUCUUAAAUGAGGGUAGAAGACGUUAUCGUAUAUUGACUUUAUGAGUCUUUGAUCACAUAUAGGGCUCCUGACAGCAUCUUUGCCCCAAUCUACAAUUAUAGAUUGUUCAAAUCUAUAUUGGUGUCUCAUGAACCAUUAAUUACAUUAAAAUGAUACUGGUAAGUGUUAGUGUCAAUAUUCAAUCUUCUCCACUGGUAAGAGAAGAAAGCCACGGGAUCUGGCUGAUGACCUUGAUGUUGGGAAAGGGCCAUUCUCAUUUUCUUAACAGAAGAGAAAUAUCAUUUCUCAAGAUCUCCUUUUUGAAAUAAUACCUAAAAUUAUAAAACUAUAGAAUUUGAGAGCUAGUGUUGGAGUUCUUUUUAAUGAAUAAAAAAAUGGUCUUUAGACUAAAAAGGGACCCAAGUCUAAGUUCAUUCUAUUUUGCAUCUUCAGUGACUGUUGGGCACAGUCAAAGAUAUGUACAGCAUAUAAAAUGUUUCUCCUCCUCCUCCUCUAGCCCCCUCAAAGAUUUGAGUGGAAAAAAGAGAAACACUGGGCGCUUAUUGAACCACCUUAUGUCUCUACUAAUGUCAAUGAAAAUCAAUUUAAUACAUUAUUUUGUAUCACUUAACACCAUAUUUAUUUAGUCAUGUGAAAUCUGAAUUUUAGAUAUUUCUAUAAAAUUUCCUAUUUGGUGCCUUUAAACAAGAUAUUUGCAAUUCACUAAAUAGUUUUAUUUUUUUAACGUGAAGAUAACUUUGCAUAACUACAAAAUUUAAAUAUACAAAAGGUAAAUACGUAAGCAUUUCAUUUUAAAUGAUUUUUUUCUGUCAAGUAUGUUAAGUAAAAUUUCACACUUAAACAUUAAACUUUUUUAACCAUGAUAAAUUGUGCUGACUUUCAAUACUAUUUUAGGAUUACUAAUAUUCUCAAUGUAUAACCAUUUUUAUUGAUCAAACCUGGAGAGACAACCACACAUCUAAUGAACAUAAGGAUGGCAUAUAUCCUUUACUCACAUGAUGGCAUAUAUCCUUUACUCACUAUGAUGGACAUAGUGGAAAUACAUCUUUGCAUUUGUUUUUCCAUAUUAUUUCAUUUCAGGUACAGAAUACACCAUUGCAGCUAUUAUUUUUAAAGCUAUUAUAUGUAAUUACAUGUCAUUUGAAUGUUUGAGUGGCUUUUCCUUGUCACUAGUUAACAGCCAUUAUCACAUUAUUUUGUAAUCCCCAUUUUAUAAAUCAGGAAAUGUGUAUUUAGAGGGGUGACUUCUCUAACAUUACAGAGUGAAUCAACAACAGAUUCAGUUACUGGGUCUGGAUAUGUUGAUUACUUAAAUAGAACACUGUUACCCAUUAUACUUACUAGAAAAGUUAAUAAUUUUAUUUGUAACAGAAAAUUUUCUAAAAUUUAUGAUCCAUUUAUUUUCCUUUAAGGUCUAAGUUUAGAUAGGGAAAAUACUGUGUCAAGAGAAAUACAUUUUGAAAAAUGACCUGCAGCAAUGAAGAACGUUCCCUAAAAUGUGAGAUCUGUACACCUGAAAGAAUGUCUUGGAGUCAGUGACAAGAGAGUGACAGGAAAGGCCUGAGGAAAUCUCUAUGAAUCAUCUCAGUAAUACAGAAGGAGAGUGUGACUUAUUUUUAGUGCUUAUAACACUGGCUAAAAUACUGUUGUUCAGGUGAAAUUCCAAAGUUUUCUAAUAUUAACUCCCUGCAUUUUAACCUAAUAUGGGUCCUAAUACUAAUUUCAGCUAGUCAGUAAAAUGUGAUAUUUUUAAGUUUAGGAAAAUGCAAGAAGACAUAUGUAGAUGAGACAAAGAUAAACAAUAUCUAUCCACAAAUGUAUGAAUUUGAUGGGAGACAGAGGAAGCAACACUCAUGAGCCAGGACCAUAAAAGCUACAAAAAUACAAGAAAUAAAUGAGAUUACUCUGAUUACUUAUAAGAAAGAAGAAAAAGAAAGAAAGAAAGAAAGAAAGAAAGAAAGAAAGAAAGAAAGAAAGAACAUUCUAGAAGACAGGAAGAGCCAAAAGUCAGAUGAAGGGAUAAUGCAUAUAAAUGCAUUUCCCAGACUGUGAAAUACCUUUCAGAGGUUUAAGCUCCACUUUUUCUGGAACUUCAGGUUUUUCAGGAACUUUCUUCUUUGGAACAGCUUUAAAGAAUAUGAUCUUAAUUUUAUUAUUUGUAUAUUUAGACUAAUCUGAAGCAAAUUUUUAAAUAUGUGCUCUAAGAGUCAAAACCAAGCUUUUCUUACAACGAAAUAGCAUUAAUAACAGCCAACAGCAGCCACCAAAGAACACACAAGACGCACUUAAACCAUGAAAACAUUGCCUCUUUACUCUGACCUUGGGUUGUAAGUAUAAGUCUGGUGGAGAAAGAAGAUAAUUUUUGUUCUUUGCAGGAGGAAGAAAUAUUCCUUUGAGUAUAAAUUUAUAUUAAGGGAAGUGUAUUAAGUGUGCGUCUUCAUGGACUAUGAAUCAACAGAUGGGUAGUCUUAAAAGGCGCCCAUUUUCUAUGUCUGACUUAAAAUACCAGAAGUUACCCCUACUGGUCAGGAGGAGUGAAGAGGGACAAGAAUCAUUAUAAGCAGUAUUACUCUGGAAUAUCCUGGCUUUGUACACGUGUAGGUGAGUAUGGGAAAAGUGCUCAUCUAAGAUUAUAUGUAGAUCAUUUUAGGUUGAGAAAUCUCAUGACACUACAAAUAAGACAACACUGUAUUACAAUUAAAAGAAUAAUAUGCUUUUGCCAGUUUACUUCAGUGUUUCAAGAUGUUAUUUUAAAAAUUAAGUAAUAUUGCAUCAGUUCAAAGAAAUAUCUAAAUGCAAAAAGAAUGAAGGGAAACUUAACAAUGAGAAGAGAUGCUGGAUAUCAAAUGUAUUCAUAAUCACUCUUUCUGGCUACACGGAGGACCACUACAGAACACAAUCUGGCUUUUAUUAAGUUGUGAAAGAAAAAAAAAAGUAAGGGAGCAGUGACUUUCUAUCAUUCAUAUGCUUUCCUUUGAUGGUAUAUGAGCACAUAUCAGCUAUCAAUGCCAUAAAUAUAUUAUUUAGAGUAUGUUUUAAAGCACGUGAGGGGCGCCUGGGUGGCACAGUCGGUUAAGCGUCCGACUUCAGCCAGGUCACGAUCUCACGGUCUGUGAGUUCGAGCCCCGCGUCAGGCUCUGGGCUGAUGGCUCGGAGCCUGGAGCCUGUUUCCGAUUCUGUGUCUCCCUCUCUCUCUGCCCCUUCCCCGUUCAUGCUCUGUCUCUCUCUGUCCCAAAAAUAAAUAAACGUUGAAAAAAAAAAUUAAAAAAAAAAUAAAGCACGUGAAAUUCUUUAAGAACAGAGUUUUAGAUUUGUUACUGCAACGUUAAAAAUUUCAUGCAAAGUUUUCUUAUACAUCCCAAAUGCACAAGAUGUCAAAGAUAUGCAUGGCAAUCACACUUUGAAACGAGGAAAUCCUUUCUCCGUAAGAAAGUUAGUUGGACAGCGCCUGCAUCCAGAUCGCCAGGAUGAAGCUAACCAUGAUACACUUUCUGUCAGUCAUGACAGACAAAGCACCCAAAGGCAGCAGAAAACACAGGUCUCUAUGCAAUUCCCACAGCCUGAUUGUGUUUGCAAGCACACACUUUUAAAAGUAAUACAUUUCUUGCAAGCACCAUUUCUGAUGACUGAAUAGAAGUUUGAAGCAGGUUAAUAAAAUUUUGGUGUGGCAUUUUAUACCUUU